rnacentral:rRNA from 1 species
AUGAACGCUGGCGGCGUGCCUAAUACAUUCAAGUCGAGCGAACAGACGAGGAGCUUGCUCCUCUGACGUUAGCGGCGGACGGGUGAGUAACACGUGGAUAACCUACCUAUAAGACUGGGAUAACUUCGGGAAACCGGAGCUAAUACCGGAUAAUAUAUUUAACCGCAUGGUUCAAUAGUGAAAUACGGUUUUGCUGUCACUUAUAGAUGGAUCCGCGCCGCAUUAGCUAGUUGGUAAGGUAACGGCUUACCAAGGCAACGAUGCGUAGCCGACCUGAGAGGGGGAACGGCCACACUGGAACUGAGACACGGUCCAGAAUCCUACGGGAGGCAGGAGGAGGGAAUCUUCCGGAAUGGGCGAAAGCCUGACGGAGCAAAGCCGGGGGAGGGAAGAAGGUCUUCGGAUCGUAAAACUCUGUUAUUAGGGAAGAACAAAUGUGUAAGUAACUAUGCACGUCUUGACGGUACCUAAUCAGAAAGCCACGGCUAACUACGUG